rnacentral:rRNA from 1 species
UUGAACGCUGGCGGCAUGCCUUACACAUGCAAGUCGAACGGUAACGGGCCUUCGGGUGCCGACGAGUGGCGACCGGGUGAGUAAUACAUCGGAACGUGCCCGAUCGUGGGGGAUAACGAGGCGAAAGCUUUGCUAAUACCGCAUACGAUCUACGGAUGAAAGCAGGGGACCGCAAGGCCUUGCGCGGACGGAGCGGCCGGUGGCAGAUUAGGUAGUUGGUGGGAUAAAAGCUUACCAAGCCGACGAUCUGUAGCUGGUCUGAGAGGAUGAUCAGCCACACUGGGACUGAGACACGGCCCAGACUCCUACGGGAGGCAGCAGUGGGGAAUUUUGGACAAAGGGCGCAAGCCUGAUCCAGCCAUGCCGCGUGCAGGAUGAAGGCCUUCGGGUUGUAAACUGCUUUUGUACGGAACGAAAAGCCUUCUUUUAAUACAGGAGGGUCAUGACGGUACCGUAAGAAUAAGCACCGGCUAACUACGUG